UUCAUUUUCCCUUAGCCUCCUUUACAUCUCUACAGGCACCAGCAAGAGCAACACCAACUGGCAUUGAGGAUGUGUCAACCCCAGGAGGCGCAACACACAGUCACCCCAAAAGCCAGACAACCACAGCUUCACCUCCGGUGACGAGUACCUCUUCAGUGAAUGUGACUAAAUCAACACAGACAGACGCUGAUAAAGACAGUUUGUCAACAUCAACCCUGGCUGGAAUUGUCUUUGGGGUCUUGAUCGCCUUUGGCCUCCUUAGUGGUCUCCUCUUUCUAUUUGUGCGGAAAAUGUCCAAAUGAUGUUUGUCGUAAGAGCUGGAGGAUCAUGCCUUCUGCCCACUUGUUUGGAAAAAGAGUUUGUGGCUUCCCCUGCUCCCUGUCCCCAAGCUGGUGGGAGAAGAUGACCCAUGGAUUACUCACGCACCUACUCAAAAAUCCAUGGCGAUUCCCCCGCUUGCCAAAGCAGAAGGAAAGAGAAUGCACAUGACCUGGCUUCUCUAAACAUCUGCCUUUUGAAGAGAAUUUUAAAUAUAAAUUUUGUAGUCGAUGAUUUAAACACAAAGCACAUGGAAAAGGAGGCAAAAGUAUAAACUGAUUUGUCACCAAAGACACAGCAUUCCAUCGAUGUUAGUGGCUGUGCUCGUGUCUGACUCCUGUCUUCGUUCUGUUUUUGUACACAUGCAGCGAAAUCUGGAAAUGUUUAUAUCCACGGAGACCUUGGUCCCGAGCUCCCCCAGACGUUUUGCAAUUGACGAUGUGCUGAAAUGUACACAUCCGGGUCUAGUUUGGUCUGGUUUUUUAAGCCUGAUGGGGUCUGAACAACAUCUGAGCUUGGAUAAGAUAUAAGCAACGGCUUCUAGAGGGGCCAGAUAAAUUUUAUGUUUCAGCUCACAAACAGGAAGUCUAGCCCUCUAGGAAGGUACUUUGUUUCUGGCGACAGCUUACAGAGCAUCCUCUAGGCCAGCGAUGAGUGAAUGACUCAAAGAUGUCUUCCAGCCUGCACACUCCGCUUCCUCAACUACUGGCGGCCAAAGUUAAGAGGCAGCUUUGCUUGCUCCCCCAUGACACGAAUCCAUCAAGUUGGCUCUUGGACCUGCAAUACAGACAUCACAGCCCCACAGGCCCAGCAAGUCGCUGAAUGCCCCAUGGUCCUAAAAUGUCACCUAUUCCGGGAACGAAGAACCAAGCUUGAUCUCCAGGCAGAAAGAAAAAAGCAGUUGGAUCUAAAGAUACGAUUUAAAAUAAAAGACAUUCUCUGUGUUUAUGCUAUCCUGAGUUUUUGACUGGGAUCAGGUUGAAAAGAUCAAAAUAAAGGUGCACGAGUGGCCUGGCCUGCCCCAGGGCAGCUCUGUGUAGUGAGUGCGUCUCUUCCCAUGGACGCAUUGGCUUCUUUUUCUAUGCAAAAUGUUUGUAUGUGGACUAGAUGCUCUUUCGUGGCUGGGGUUCUGCAAUCCUGAUAUCCUCUCAACUCAAGAAUUCAUAAAACAGGAAAAAGUAAACAAUCCAUCGGAAGCACAGCCAGCCCAUCCCCCUUUUCCUUUUUUAUUUAUUUAUUUAUUUAUUUUUUUUUUGGCAGUAGCUUAUGGAUGUCAUUUUAAACAGUGCACUCGUGCGUUUGGGUUCUCCAAAUCCGGCUGGCCCACCACGUCCCACACUUGAAUCGGCUGGGUGAGAGGGGGAAGUUAAAGGAGCCGUGUGAGUUUAAACAGCUUUUCCUUCCCUCAAACAGCUUCAGGAAUAAUGGUCCGCUGCUUCUCUAGCCCUCGUGCUUUGCGCCUCUCCCGGUGGGCAGUAACAGUGCCAGCCCAGAUCAUACACUGGACUCGGAGCCCGUGGGGUCGGGGCCGCGGGGUGGUGGGUUUCUUGGUCGCACCUCGGUGCUCAAUGCAGUGGAGACGUAUUUUCCAAUAAAACAGAUGAUUGUCUA